UACGUAGGGUGCAAGCGUUGUCCGGAAUUAUUGGGCGUAAAGAGCUCGUAGGCGGUCUGUCGCGUCUGCUGUGAAAACUCAGGGCUUAACCCUGAGCUUGCAGUGGGUACGGGCAGACUAGAGUGCGGUAGGGGAGACUGGAAUUCCUGGUGUAGCGGUGAAAUGCGCAGAUAUCAGGAAGAACACCGGUGGCGAAGGCGGCUCUCUGGGCCUUACCUGACGCUGAGGAGCGAAAGCGUGGGUAGCGAACAGG
rnacentral:rRNA from 1 species